GCCAACAAUUGACCGGUGGGCGACUGUCCCAGUUUUCUCUCCUUCUACAUCCAGUCCUCUUCCUUCAUCCCCACCUCUCCCUUCCACCAACCCCCGGCCGCCGGCGUAUGGAAGCCACGGGCUCCCCUAUGCAUCCUCGCCGGAUUCCGACCCCCAGCACUCUCCGCUCAUCCGUGCCGCACGCCGCCACUUCCUCCCCCACAGGAACACCUCGAGGUUGAACCCGACGGAAAGUGACUCCACCCGUGACUCAUCCUAUUCUCUCUACGAUAUCUAUCCGGGCAUGGAAUUCGCAGUCCAGCGGCUGGAUUCGCGAGAUCCGGGCCUCAGGGUCACACCCGUGUGGUAGAUCUGUGUGCACGCAUGGCUCACGUGGUGGUGGCAUCGCAUGGCUGAUAAAAGCUGGUCAAAUAUCAUGAUUUGCACCUCGCGUACAGCUCUUGGUUGGCCCAGCGCGUGAGGAUUCGCUGGAAUUGUCGGCCCAGAUCAUGUUUAUUUGAUGCUACUAUGUCUCUUGUUUGCGUCUGCAAAUUCAACGGGAUUGACUACAUUUCCUGCAUAGUAGUGAGAUAAUCUGUGAUUUUUCUUGUUUCAGUGUCCUACCCGUUGCCCGAGGUCAAAGUUUGUUCAUCAUCCGAGCUCAUUUAGAUACAAGAGGAUGCUGCCAUUUCUCAUGGAGAACGGUGGCCAAGCUCAGAAAAUUUUCUGAAGAUAAACAAACUGUCAUCAGAUGAGAUUUAAUCUGCCACCGUAGAAGUUUCUCUGGAGAGCACUGUAGAAAGCCACACCAGAAUAAGAGUUAGCUUCAGUUGGGGACCCACUGCCGUGCGUACAUUGCUCCAAAGGUUUUGCAGGUUAUGGGAGUAAAGGAGCUGCUCUAGAUUUGUGCACAUCAUUCUCAGCUACAAAGUCACAUAUACUACUGUGUGGAAAGAUCAAACGAAAAAAACAACAAACCAGAUUAUUGUCUAGUUUGUAGCUAUGUUUUCAUAGUACCUACAAAAUACAUUUCUUUUUUUGGUACAUGGACAUAUGUCCUGCUGUUUUAUGUGUGAAAUAAGACUCUCUAUGCGCUCUCCUAUAUAUUUGCACAUUUUCUGCAUUUUUUGCACAUAGUGCUACAAAUGUUGGCUUGUCACAUGAUUUGGUUGCAUGGAAACCAGUUAAAAUUGCACAUGUACAAGAUCUCCAUAUUUUUUUUAUCUCUGUUUAUGCUCUCUUCAACUAUGAAGAAGCUACUUUUGCAAAGAGAAAUUUUGUGAGGGGGAAAGGGAAAGUCAAUGAGGGGGGAUUUGAAUAUGAGAAGAAAAGGAUCACCUCCUGUUUUAUCCUUGUUGGUGCUACCUGCUCUGGGAUGGAGUCCAAACCUAGGAAACCAUUGUUUCUUGGGGAAGAAGAAGGCAAGGCAGGUAAGGGCGUGGAGAAGUUGGUGGCUAGUGGGUGUGAGAGCUUUGGGAGGGAAGGGAAGUGCACGUGAUGGCCUGGGGUCUGGGGACCGCGCCCAGCGUGUGGUUUGCUGGGUUACGCGCGUCUAUUGCUACUAGGGGAGACCUAUCCUUUUUUGGGAUAGGAGGGGGAUCGUAUAUUUCCUUUUCUGACGGCCGCUCGGGAUUGCUAGCGGGCAGACGGCCGCCCAAUUUUUUGUUGUACAUGUGAUGACAUGGACAUCGUGAGGAG